GAUGAAGAACGCAGCAAAAUGCGAUAAGUAAUGUGAAUUGCAGAAUUCAGUGAAUCAUCGAAUCUUUGAACGCACAUUGCGCCCGCCAGUAUUCUAGUGGGCAUGCCUGUUCGAGCGUCAUUUCAACCCUUAAGCCUCUGUUGCUUAGCGUUGGGAGCCUACCUACCCGGUAGAUCCUCAAAGUUAGCUGGCAGGGUCGAGGUUCGCCCUAAGCGUAGUAGUUCUUUCUCGCUUCUGCGGCUGCCUAGGCCAUCGCCACAAGCCUUUUAAACUUCAAUGGUUGACCUCGGAUCAGGUAGGAAUACCCGCUGAACUUAAGCAUAUCAAUAAGCGGAGGA
rnacentral:misc_RNA from 1 species